rnacentral:rRNA from 1 species
UACGUAGGGUCCGAGCGUUGUCCGGAAUUAUUGGGCGUAAAGAGCUCGUAGGCGGCUCGUCGCGUCGGCUGUGAAAACCUGGGGCUCAACCCCGGGCCUGCAGCCGAUACGGGCGAGCUAGAAUUCGGUAGGGGAGACUGGAAUUCCUGGCGUAGCGGUGAAAUGCGCAGAUAUCGGGAGGAACACCGGUGGCGAAGGCGGUUCUCUGGGCCGUACCUGACGCUGAGGAGCGAAAGCGUGGGGAGCGAACAGG